UGGGGAAUUUUGGACAAUGGGCGAAAGCCUGAUCCAGCAAUGCCGCGUGUGUGAAGAAGACCUUCGGGUUGUAAAGCACUUUUGUCCGGAAAGAAAUCCUUGGCUCUAAUACAGUCGGGGGAUGACGGUACCGGAAGAAUAAGCACCGGCUAACUACGUGCCAGCAGCCGCGGUAAUACGUAGGGUGCAAGCGUUAAUCGGAAUUACUGGGCGUAAAGCGUGCGCAGGCGGUUUGCUAAGACCGAUGUGAAAUCCCCGGGCUCAACCUGGGAACUGCAUUGGUGACUGGCAGGCUAGAGUAUGGCAGAGGGGGGUAGAAUUCCACGUGUAGCAGUGAAAUGCGUAGAGAUGUGGAGGAAUACCGAUGGCGAAGGCAGCCCCCUGGGCCAAUACUGACGCUCAUGCACGAAAGCGUGGGGAGCAAACAGGAUUAGAUACCCUGGUAGUCCACGCCCUAAACGAUGUUAACUAGUUGUUGGGGAUUCAUUUUCCUUAGUAACGUAGCUAACGCGUGAAGUUGACCGCCUGGGGAGUACGGUCGCAAGAUUAAAACUUAAAUGAAUUGACGGGGUCAUAGCUGUUUCCU
rnacentral:rRNA from 1 species